rnacentral:rRNA from 1 species
AUUGAACGCUGGCGGCAUGCCUUACACAUGCAAGUCGAACGGCAGCGCGGGAGCAAUCCUGGCGGCGAGUGGCGAACGGGUGAGUAAUAUAUCGGAACGUGCCCAGUAGUGGGGGAUAGCCCGGCGAAAGCCGGAUUAAUACCGCAUGAGACCUGAGGGUGAAAGCGGGGGAUCGCAAGACCUCGCGCUAUUGGAGCGGCCGAUAUCAGAUUAGCUAGUUGGUGGGGUAAAGGCCUACCAAGGCAACGAUCUGUAGUUGGCCUGAGAGGACGACCAGCCACACUGGGACUGAGACACGGCCCAGACUCCUACGGGAGGCAGCAGUGGGGAAUUUUGGACAAUGGGCGCAAGCCUGAUCCAGCAAUGCCGCGUGCAGGAAGAAGGC